AACGAACGCUGGCGGCAGGCCUAACACAUGCAAGUCGAGCGCCCUUUCGGGGGAGCGGCGGACGGGUGAGUAACGCGUGGGAAUAUGCCCUUCUCUACGGAAUAGCCUCGGGAAACUGAGAGUACUACCGUAUACGCCCUAUGGGGGAAAGAUUUAUCGGGGAAGGAUUAGCCCGCGUUGGAUUAGGUAGUUGGUGGGGUAAUGGCCUACCAAGCCGACGAUCCAUAGCUGGUUUGAGAGGAUGAUCAGCCACACUGGGACUGAGACACGGCCCAGACUCCUACGGGAGGCAGCAGUGGGGAAUCUUAGACAAUGGGGGCAACCCUGAUGUAGCCAUGCCGCGUGAGUGAUGAAGGCCUUAGGGUUGUAAAGCUCUUUCAGCUGGGAAGAUAAUGACGGUACCAGCAGAAGAAGCCCCGGCUAACUCCGUG
rnacentral:rRNA from 1 species